UAACGAAUAUUCCGCAAUGGGCGAAAGCCUGACGGAGCGACGCCGCGUGGAGGACGAAUUCCUUCGGGAUGUAAACUCCUUUUGGGGUGAAGAAAACAAGGAGCGCUAAUACCGCUUUGCGUUGAUCGAUCCCAGAAUAAGCCUGGGCUAAUUCCGUGCCAGCAGCCGCGGUAAGACGGAACAGGCAAGCGUUGUUCGGAAUCACUGGGCUUAAAGCGCGUGUAGGCGGCCUGGUAAGUACCUUGUGAAAUCCCCCGUCUCAACCGGGGCACUGCUUGGUAUACUGCCGGGCUCGAGGUGGGUAGGGGUGCCUGGAACUCUAGGUGGAGCGGUGAAAUGCGUAGAUAUCUAGAGGAACGCCAGUGGCGAAAGCGGGGCACUGGGCCUUACCUGACGCUGAGGCGCGAAAGCGUGGGUAGCAAACG
rnacentral:rRNA from 1 species